rnacentral:lncRNA from 1 species
GCUAUAUACUGUUUUCAAUCACUUCUUGAAGCAUUCCCCAGUUUAAUGUGUAUGUCUUCAUCUUCUGCUGCACCUCAAGCAAGCUAUUAAAGUUUGAAUACAACCCUUUUUUACACCUCUUGGAUGUUGUUUCAUUUAUUCAUUUAUAUAUUUGUGUACCUAUUUAUUUUUGUUAUUUAUAUAUAUUUUAUUUAGUUUAAGGUUGUUCAAUCAGGUUAUGAGAGAUUCUUCUUGUUUAGUGAUGCCCUUGUAUAGAAUACUUUGCAAGGUGGUUCGUAUUUGAAUUGCUUUAUUCUGUCAUGCCUAUUUAAUUGUAGGUUGCAUUAUUUAGCAAUUGGCUCAUAUGUUUGACUUCCAUCUUGUUUAGAAAUUUGGUGAUGCCCCUGUAGAAAGUACUUUGCGAGACAUGGUUCAUAUCCGUAUUGCUUUAUUCUGUCAUUCUUUUUUGCAUUUACGUUUCAUUAUUUAGGCUUUUGUGGUAUGGGUGUUGAGUAUCGUAUUGUAUUUCCUUCGAUUCUUUGCUGUCUGGAGUUUUCAGAACUUGUUUCCCGGUAACAUUUGCUUUAUUUUUCGGCAGUUGCUUCUAUUAUAUGUGUUUAUGAGGAGUUAUCCUUAAUUUUACCAUAGGCUUUUGCGGUAUGGGUGUUGAGUAUCGUAUUGUAUUUCCUUCUAUUCUUUGCUGUCUGGAGUUUUCAGAACUUGUUUACCGGUAACAUUUGCUUUAUUUUUCGGCAGUUGCUUCUAUUAUAUGGUGGUCUGCUGCUGAAGAUUGUGUACUUUGGCAUAAGUGGCUGCACUUUUGCUAGGUUGUUGGUUGAUAUAUAUUGUUUCCAAUCACUUCUUGAAGCAUUCCCCAGUUUAGUGUGUGUCUUCAUCUUCUGCUGCACCUCAAGCAAUCUAUUAGAGUUUGAAUACAACCCUUUUUUAUACCUCUUGGAUAUUUUUUCAUUUAUUCAUUUAUAUAUUGUGUACCUAUUUAUUGUUGUUAUAUAUACAUAUAUAUUAUUUAGUUUAAGGUUGUUCAGUCAGGUUAUGAGAGAUUCUUC